rnacentral:rRNA from 1 species
GAUAUGUGAAGCUGACCAAUACUAAUUGCUCGUGAGGCUUGACUAUACAACACCCA